rnacentral:rRNA from 1 species
AACGAACGCUGGCGGCAGGCUUAACACAUGCAAGUCGAGCGCCCCGCAAGGGGAGCGGCAGACGGGUGAGUAACGCGUGGGAAUCUACCGUGCCCUAAGGAAUAGCUCCGGGAAACUGGAAUUAAUACCUUAUACGCCCUUCGGGGGAAAGAUUUAUCGGGGUAUGAUGAGCCCGCGUCGGAUUAGCUAGUUGGUGAGGUAAAGGCCUACCAAGGCGACGAUCCAUAGCUGGUCUGAGAGGAUGAUCAGCCACAUUGGGACUGAGACACGGCCCAAACUCCUACGGGAGGCAGCAGUGGGGAAUAUUGGACAAUGGGCGCAAGCCUGAUCCAGCCAUGCCGCGUGAGUGAUGAAGGCCCUAGGGUUGUAAAGCUCUUUCACCGGUGAAGAUAAUGACGGUAACCGGAGAAGAAGCCCCGGCUAACUUCGUGCCAGCCGCCGCGGUAAUAC